rnacentral:tRNA from 1 species
GAGGGUAGAGCUCAGUGGUAGAGCGCACGCAUAACGUGCACGAGGUCCUGGGUUCUAUCCCCAGCACCUCCU